rnacentral:rRNA from 1 species
CUUGUCUCAAAGAUUAAGCCAUGCAUGUCUAAGUAUAAGCAAUUAUACCGUGAAAACUGCGCAAUGGCUCAUUAAAUCAGUUAUCGUUUAUUUGAUAGUACCUUACUACUUGGAUAACCGUGGUAAUUCUAGAGCUAAUACAUGCUAAAAACCCCAACUUCGGGAGGGGUGUAUUUAUUAGAUAAAAAACCAAUGCCCUUCGGGGCUCCUUGGUGAUUCAUGAUAACUUCUCAGAUCGCAUGGCUUUACGCCGGCGACGGUUCAUUCAAAUUUCUGCCCUAUCAACUUUCGAUGGUAAGGUAGUGGCUUACCAUGGUUUCAACGGGUAACGGGGAAUUAGGGUUCGAUUCCGGAGAGGGAGCCUGAGAAACGGCUACCACAUCCAAGGAAGGCAGCAGGCGCGCAAAUUACCCAAUUCCGAUACGGAGAGGUAGUGACAAUAAAUACUGAUACAGGGCUCUUUUGGGUCUUGUAAUUGGAAUGAGUACAAUUUAAACCUCUUAACGAGGAACAAUUGGAGGGCAAGUCUGGUGCCAGCAGCCGCGGUAAUUCCAGCUCCAAUAGCGUAUAUUAAAGUUGUUGCAGUUAAAAAGCUCGUAGUUGAACCUUUGGCCUGGCUGGCAGGUCCGCCUCACCGCGUGCACUUGUCCGGCCGGGCCUUUUCUUCUGGAGAACCGCAUGCCCUUCCUGGGUGUGUUGGGGACCAGGACUUUUACUUUGAAAAAAUUAAAGUGUUCAAAGCAGGCCUUUGCUCGAAUACCUUUAGCCUGGGAAUAAUAAAAAAAGGGACGUGCGGGCCCUAUUUUGUUGGGUUUCUAGGGACCCCCCC